rnacentral:rRNA from 1 species
AUUGAACGCUGGCGGCAGGCUUAACACAUGCAAGUCGAGCGGUAACAUUUCUAGCUUGCUAGAAGAUGACGAGCGGCGGACGGGUGAGUAAUACUUAGGAAUCUACCUAGUAGUGGGGGAUAGCACGGGGAAACUCGUAUUAAUACCGCAUACGACCUACGGGAGAAAGGGGGCAACUUGUUGCUCUCGCUAUUAGAUGAGCCUAAGUCGGAUUAGCUAGAUGGUGGGGUAAAGGCCUACCAUGGCGACGAUCUGUAGCUGGUCUGAGAGGAUGAUCAGCCACACCGGAACUGAGACACGGUCCGGACUCCUACGGGAGGCAGCAGUGGGGAAUAUUGGACAAUGGGGGGAAACCCUGAUCCAGCCAUGCCGCGUGUGUGAAGAAGGCCUUUUGGUUGUAAAGCACUUUAAGCAGUGAAGAAGACUCCGUGGUUAAUACCCAUGGACGAUGACAUUAGCUGCAGAAUAAGCACCGGCUAACUCUGUGCCAG